AACCCGGGCGUCGCCGUCGGCAGGAGCCCCGGCCCAGGAAAGGCGCCGCCGGGGCCCAGGAAAGGCGCCGCCGGGGCCCAGGGAGCGCGUGGGGCCGCGAGAGCAGAGAGGAAACUUCCUUUUCGGGCCUGACUGCGGAGGGGAGCUUUGCCGCGGCUUCGCACAAAGCCUUUCAUUUCUGCACCUGCCUCUGCGUCCAUCCUUCCCUUCCUGAGUCAAAAUUUUCAUCAAGUGCUUCUGUAUGUAUUGAGACUGAAAAGUGACCAAAACUUUUCACUAUAAAAGCUUCAGUAUCACAGGUAAACACAUCACACCCCGUUUUAGCAGUGUUGUGUGAAAGGUGUCCAGAUAUUUAGCAAGGACAUCAUGACGUCCUCAAAAAAUAUACACACACUUCUAAGAAGAUGUGACAAUCUGCACUGAUAUGAGCUGCAAGAGAAAAACUGUUUCCUUGGAAGUGCUUUUUCACAGCCAUUGUGGAGUCUCCACAGCUCAGGGGAGUCCUUCCAUCCCCAACUACUGCAACAAGCCGGUCUCCAGGACUUGCCAAUGCUGAUGAAGUCCAGUGAAGAACUUCUCCAGGCCAGUCUCAUUCCAACCAACCUCUUAUGCUGAACAGUUUGAAGAUUUGCUGAAGCAUCUGAUGGAGGACAGCAGUGAUUUGAGCCUUCUGGACCUUGCUGCCAUCUACCAGAAACAACAGAAGACCAUUGGAACCAGCUAAAUGUCCAUCGGUAGGGGACUAAUCAAAUAAUGUAGGACACACCCAUUCAAUGGGAAACAGUACAGCUAUUUAAAAAGAUAAAGCAGUUAUCUAUAUAUGAAUGAGAAGAUCUCCAAGUUAAAAAAGAUAGGUGCAGAACAGUGAGUAUAGUAUGCUACUUUUAUAUUAAAAAAGGGGAAGAGUGUAAUAAAAGAAUGUACCUAUAUUCUCAUCAGUUGGCAUAUGCAUAAGGAAACUGGAAGGAUUUAAAAGACAGUAAUAACUUCAAACUGUGGAAAAUGUUGGAAGCAGUUGUGUCAAAGUAUACAUUUAUUCAUAUGCCCAAAUUCCAAUUUACUAGUAAUUUUAAAAAUGUAAGUUAGCAAAAUAUCCAUAAAGGGAAAGAUCAGUAGCAGGGAAAUACACACUCAAACAUUGCUGGUGACAAUAUUUUGGAAAAAAAAAUUGUCUUCAAUUAGCAUUCUGCCCUUAGGAUUUAUCCAAAAACAGGUAAAGUUUUGUGCUCAGAUUCUAUAGAAGAGUGGAGAACAAGAAAGUAUAUAUUCAGGAACAAAUGAUGGGCAAGGAAACUACAUAGUAUGUGUAGUUAUUAGACAAUUGUGUAUCCAUUUAAAAAUUUGUGAGUAGAAAACAAAAACACGAAAAAUUUACUGAUGAUGGAAUUCCAUUGUGUGGCAAAAAUUCAGGCUAAAUUACUUACAUAGCAUAGUCACAAUUUGGUAUUUUAA